CCCACCCCCUAGUCUGGCUGGGAAUUUGAACCGAUCCAGCCUGUUUAAACGGAAAGGACACAGAUCUUCAAUGUAAAAAAAAAAUCAGAUCAGACCCAGAGAGAGAGAGAGAGAGAGAGACAGAGAGGGAGGAGUGUGUGUGUGUGUGAGUGUGUGUGUGUGUGUGUGUGAAAGAGGGAGAGGGAGCGAGAGAGCGAGAGAGAGGGAGAGAGAGGGAGAGAGAGAGGGAGGGAGAGAGAAAAGAAGAGGGGGAAAAAAAGGAAAGAAGAUUUUCUCUAUGUAUAUAAAGAUGGCCACGUUAGCAAACGGACAACCAGACAAUACCAGCCUGAGUAGCAAUCACAGCAACCCCAGCACCAACGGGCAUAUGAACGGAUUAAACCAUAGUCCCGGAAACCCAUCCACCAUCCCAAUGAAGGACCACGAUGCCAUUAAGCUCUUUAUUGGGCAGAUCCCCCGUAACCUGGACGAGAAAGACCUCAAACCGCUCUUCGAGGAGUUCGGGAAGAUCUAUGAACUGACGGUGCUGAAGGACAGGUUCACUGGCAUGCACAAAGGCUGUGCCUUCCUAACAUACUGCGAAAGGGAGUCUGCUCUAAAGGCCCAGAGUGCACUGCAUGAACAGAAGACACUGCCGGGGAUGAACAGACCGAUCCAGGUGAAACCAGCGGACAGCGAAAGCCGAGGAGAAGACAGAAAACUCUUUGUGGGCAUGCUCAAUAAGCAGCAGUCGGAAGACGAUGUGCGCAGGCUAUUCGAGGCGUUUGGCAACAUUGAGGAGUGCACGAUCCUUCGGGGACCCGAUGGCAACAGCAAAGGGUGUGCAUUUGUGAAAUACUCUUCACAUGCAGAGGCCCAAGCUGCCAUCAAUGCCUUGCAUGGCAGCCAGACAAUGCCGGGAGCCUCUUCAAGCCUGGUGGUGAAGUUUGCGGACACGGACAAGGAGCGUACAAUGAGGCGCAUGCAGCAAAUGGCAGGACAAAUGGGCAUGUUCAACCCCAUGGCCAUCCAGUUUGGGGCUUAUGGCGCCUAUGCACAGGCACUGAUGCAGCAGCAGGCCGCGAUCAUGGCCUCGGUGGCGCAGGGCGGAUACCUGAACCCCAUGGCAGCCUUUGCCGCGGCCCAGAUGCAGCAGAUGGCAGCUCUGAACAUGAACGGCCUGGCAGCCGCCCCCAUGACACCAACCUCAGGUGGAAGCACGCCUCCUGGCAUAACUGCACCAGCUGUGCCUAGCAUCCCAUCUCCAAUUGGGGUGAAUGGUUUCACUGGCCUCCCGCCGCAGGCUAAUGGGCAGCCAGCUGCAGAAGCCGUGUUUGCUAAUGGCAUUCACCCUUAUCCAGGUGUAUGGCACCAGAUUUCCUUCCAAGAGGCCCCCACCUUUGCAUCCUCCAAGCCUUGCCUCCAGCCACACCUCUGUGCGGCACAGAGCCCCACUGCAGCAGACCCCUUGCAGCAAGCCUACGCUGGAGUGCAGCAGUACGCAGGUCCUGCUUAUCCUGCUGCUUAUGGCCAGAUUAGCCAAGCGUUCCCACAGCCACCUCCCAUGAUCCCACAGCAACAGAGAGAAGGACCAGAGGGCUGUAACCUGUUUAUCUACCAUCUGCCCCAGGAGUUUGGGGAUGCUGAGCUGAUGCAGAUGUUCCUGCCUUUCGGUAAUGUCAUCUCCUCGAAAGUGUUUGUGGAUCGGGCGACAAACCAAAGUAAAUGCUUUGGUUUUGUGAGUUUUGACAAUCCUGCCAGUGCCCAAGCUGCUAUCCAGGCCAUGAAUGGAUUCCAGAUUGGCAUGAAGAGGCUGAAGGUGCAGCUGAAGAGGCCAAAGGAUGCUAAUCGUCCCUACUGAAGAAUUGUGGGAACCAUUGGAUACAAAGCACUAGCACAGAGCCAGUCAAAUCCACCACAGUCUCGCGCUGAGCUAGGAAAAAAGUUCUCGUAAUGACAUGAAAGUGGAGAAUACAGUCCCCCAGGCCGGCAGCAGCUGAAUGGGCCACAUUUAGGAAAAAAAAAAAAAAAGUAUAUAUAUAUUAAAAAAAAAAAAUCGUGAACUGUUGGAUUACACCUUUGACAUAUCAGCAAAUAUCAGUCAAGCUGAAGACUUCAGACCUAUUCUCUCUUUGAUUGUUUAGACUGUAACAUUUCUUCAAGAAAAGUAUCACAUCUGCUGACUUCGAAGGACAUGCGCUUGAAAACAAACAAACACAUAAGUAAAAUCAGAACAGGAGGAAGAUUCAACCGGGAUUUCUGAAGAGACACUGAUAUCACCACAGCGGCUUUUCUUCAAACAGGAGAUGCAAACCUGGAUUCUGGCAAAGGAGUGCCUGUUUGCCACCAAGGAUGCGGUUACCAUGCGAGAACCCGUGGUAACAGUCACUGAGCAUCUUUAUCUGUCAUUCCUUAGCUAUAUAGGGACCAAAGGACAAAACUUUUUACCGCAGACUUGUAGCUGUAUGUAAAAUAUGGAAGUUCUUUCCUUUUCUCUGAGCUGUUCCUAAAACAGUUUUUGAGAGCGAUUAUAUGAAAUAUGUAAAAUUAAAAAAAAAAAAAAAUCAAAUGCUUAAAUGCUUUUAAAACGGCAAGAUAAUAGUUCUUUGAUACUUUGGGAGGUUCUUUGGUUAUACAUUAAUUAGAGUCUAUGAAGCUUUCAUAUGGUUUUCUGUAUAAUACGCAAGGAUUGCGUUGUUAAAGGCAGGUAAGAUGGAUAUCUAUGAAAAGCAAAAAAAAAGUAAAUAAAUAAAUACAUAAAUAAGUACAUAAAAAGGCAUAGAAAAAGAGAAAGGAAAGAUGGUUGAUAUUAAAUGGAAAACAAAAAGGUUUGUAAAUGCUUCUAACUCUCCCCAUUUAAAAUCCUAAUAGUUGUACAGAAUUUAAAAAAAGAAAGUUUAAAAUACCUAUAUAAUAGAAAAAAUUAGACAACAUAAAAAUAAAAAAAAAAAAACAAAAAAAAGCAAAAAAAAAAUAAUACUACAUAGAAGUUAGCGUUAAUGCUAAAAACAAAGAUGUUGUAGAACUGUAAUUUUUGUAGAGUUUAGAUUGAGCAUAAAUUCCUACUCUCUGCCAAUUGCUGUUGGAUGCUGUUAUUUAUCGAGGAAAAAAAGGAGAAAAAUGGCUAUUUUGGCAGCUUUUUUAACUGCAAGCAUUCCAGCUAUUAAAAAAUAAACAAGACAAGACUCAAUUCUGUAGACAAUGCAAAUGGGAAAAAAAAAACAGCUGUCUUUUUAUCAGACGUUAGUUCUAUCUUGAACAACAAAACACAGCUAAACGCUUCAUGUCUUCAUGAUCUGCUGUCCGCAAAAUUCCCAUCAUCCUAUGCUUCAGUAGCUUCCAUAUUUGCUCUAGAAACCUUCAGGGCAAGGGAUUAGCCUAGUACCUUAAUCUUAAAAAA